rnacentral:rRNA from 1 species
CUGAUGUUAGCGGCGGACGGGUGAGUAGCACGUGGGUAACCUACCUAUAAGACUGGGAUAACUCCGGGAAACCGGGGCUAAUACCGGAUAAUAUUUUGAACCGCAUGGUUCGAUAGUGAAAGACGGUUUCGGCUGUCACUUAUAGAUGGACCCGCGCCGUAUUAGCUAGUUGGUAAGGUAACGGCUUACCAAGGCGACGAUACGUAGCCGACCUGAGAGGGUGAUCGGCCACACUGGAACUGAGACACGGUCCAGACUCCUACGGGAGGCAGCAGCC